CUGGUUUUUUUUGGUUUCUGCUUCUACAUCCAAUUUUUGUGAUAUGUUGUUGUAGUUUUAGUGUAUGAAGAGUCUGGCCUCACACAGAUACAGAUGAAAAGUCUUUUAAGAAGGUUGAGAAGCACUGAUCUGGAGGAAGGUGAUUCGGUAAAAGGGGUGAGAGAACAGCAGCCUGGAAGGACUGACUGCAGAAGCAAAUCACGAGGAAACAGUGGUGACAAUGACUUUUCUCCCUUUCUUCAUGGGUGAGCCUCCUGU
rnacentral:lncRNA from 1 species